rnacentral:tRNA from 1 species
GAGGGUAUAGCUCAAGUGGUAGAGCGCAUGCUUAGCAUGCACAAGAUUCUGGGUUCAAUCCCCAAUACCUCCU